rnacentral:lncRNA from 10 species
CCAGCUUCAAUCUGUAAAUUUAAUUAACACUUCAGUCUUCCUGUAAGUGGUUAAUCAAAAAAUUGAACAAUGUCAGCUCAAGAGGAGUGCUUUAUAACUAAUCUGAAAAAUCAUUAUAACCUUAUAGUACAUGGCUAAAAUGAAUUUAAAUUAUAUUACACAAGAUGCCUCAAAGAAACACUAUUAAAUUCACUAUUAUGGCUGAGAUAGCCUGCAAAGUACUUUUUUUAAUAACAAGUUUAUUACAAUGUCAAAAAGAGAUAAUAGUGCUAACGUACCUUCUCUGCUAGUCUCUUGGCUUGAACUUGAAUAUCUGGUCUUGAAUGGUCAUUGUCUUUUUCCAAUAAAGAAUCCACAGAAAGCUGAAAAUCAGCUACUUCUCUAAAGACAGACAUCGAAACGAGAUAGAACUGUUACCUUAAAAGCAUUAGUUGUUAAACAAAGACUAAUCACUAUGAGUUCUCCAUUGAGACAUACCUUUACCAGAAGAAGGUGUUAUGUGUACUUUCAAAAUUAAAAGCAAGGGGGCCGAGAGCGGUGGCUCAUGCCUGUAAUCCCAGCACUUUGGGAGGCUAAGGCAGGCGGAUCACCUGAGGUUGAGUUCUAGACCAGCCUGGCCACAUGGUAAAACCCCAUCUCUACUAAAAAUACACACACACACACAAAAAUUAGCCAGGCAUGGUGGUGUGUACCUACAAUCCCAGCUGCUUGGGAGACUGAGGCAGGGGAAUCGCUUGAAUCCUGGAGGUGGAGACUGCAGCGAGUCAAGAUUGUGCCACUGCACUCCAGCCUGGGUGACAAGAGCGAAACUCUGUCUCAAAAAAGUAAAUAAAAUAAAAUAAAUAAAUAAAAAACAAAAUUAAAAGCAAGAAAAUGAGAAAUAACCUAGUAUUUAUUCAGAAUGUUUUUCUUAUCAUCUUAUAAAAUUCUUCCUCUUCUGUCUGGGCACAGAUCCCAGCACUUUGGGAGGCCGAGGCAAGUGGACCACUUAAGGUCAGGAGUUUGAGACCAGCCUGGCCAACAUGGAAAAACCCCAUCUCUACUAAAAAUACAAAAAUUAGCCAGGCGUGGUGGCAUGUGCCCGUAAGCCCAGCUACUCGGGAGGCUUAGGCACGAGAAUUGCUUGAACCCAGGAGGCAGAGGUUGCAGUGAGCUGAGAUCAUGCCACUGCACUCCAGUCUGGGUGACAGAGCAAGACCUAGUCUCAAAAAAUUCUUCCUCUUAUACUAGCCACCUUAUUUUAUAGACAUGAAAACUGAUGUCUGGCAAGCUAAAUGUCUCCUUUAAAAUCCUACUGCAAAUAAAAACAGACUGAGAAAAAAGCCCAGGUCUCUUUACCUCUUCUACAAUGCUUCCUCUACUACUCCAAAUACAUGCUUCUAAUUCAAACCUCUCCACUGACCUCCAAAUGACAUAUUUUUUAAAUGUUGUAAUUUGAGUUUCAACAUGAGAAAAAGAAGAAUAUUCUUCUUAACACUCAGUAGUUCAUUAAAGAGAUGGACAAUGCCAUUUAUCCUUUUCACUGGGUAGGUGAAAAAAAAAUACAAAAACAAAGAAACAAACACAAAGCAACUGAUUCGUGAAAAUAAAUCAUUUGCAUCAUGAGAUCAGUUCUCUCUAGGGAAGCAGGGUAGGGAAUGCAGUCAAACAAAUAUAUAUCAGUGACUUCAACAUUAUCUGUAAUGCUUAACAAAAAUCAAAAGCUCUCCCUUUCCCUACAA